rnacentral:rRNA from 1 species
AUGUUGGCUCAAUCCGAAGGAAAUUAUGCGGAAGCUUUGCAAAAUUAUUAUGAAGCUACGCGACUAGAAAUCGAUCCCUAUGAUCGAAGUUAUAUACUCUAUAACAUAGGCCUUAUACACACAAGCAAUGGAGAGCAUACAAAGGCUUUAGAAUAUUAUUUCUGGGCACUAGAACGAAACCCCUUCUUACCGCAAGCUUUUAAUAAUAUGGCCGUGAUCUGUCAUUAUCGAGGAGAACAGGCCAUUCUACAGGGUGAUUCGGAAAUUGCCGAAGCUUGCUUUGAUCAAGCUGCUGAAUAUUGGAAACAAGCUAUAGUGCUUACUCUAGGAAAUUAUAUUGAAGCACAGAACUGGUUGAAGAUUACGAAGCGCUUUGAAUUUGAAUAA